CGGGUGCCAAUGCAAUAACAAAAUGAUCGCUCAUGGAAUUUUGCAGCAGAAUUUUAUCGGAACCUUGCUCAUACACAUGCACAAAAGCCCUCUUUUGUGGUCAGGAAUAAAAAAUAAGGUUUUAGGCACUUUGGAAUCCAACGACCCUCACACAAGUUGUUGCCUUCACAACCAGAGUCGUCUUUACAUUUAAUACGAUAUGUUCUAAUGUGUGGUUUCAAAGGAAACUCAUUCCACUUGUUUUGGCCACCAUAGUCUUCUUUAUAUUUAACACGACCUGUUGUAAUGAAAAGAGUAAAUGAAUGUUAGUUGAAUGAGAUAAAAUAUUAUUUAGAAAGUAUCUAAGGAAAUUCUAGAAGGACAAAAAAUGGAUUACCUUCAACAAUCAUUGCAGCAAGAAAUAGGGAAAUAAAGAUAAUUAUAACACAAACAAAUUUCACAGUUUG
rnacentral:lncRNA from 1 species